AUUCAGAUGACGAGUCCUGAAUAGGACAAAAUGCGCGUCUUGCAU
rnacentral:hammerhead_ribozyme from 1 species